rnacentral:rRNA from 1 species
CGGCCGCGGUAUCCUGACCGUGCAAAGGUAGCAUAAUCACUUGUUCCUUAAUUAGGGACUAGCAUGAAUGGCCAAACGAGGAUUCAACUGUCUCUUAUUUUUAAUCAGUGAAAUUGACCUUUCAGUGAAGAGGCUGAAAUACUAAAAUAAGACGAGAAGACCCUAUGGAGCUUAAAUUAAAAGUUUAACUUUACUCCUAUCAACCUAAUGGUAUAACACAAAAAUUCUAAACUUUAAAUUUCGGUUGGGGUGACCUCGGAGAACAGAAAAUCCUCCGAAUGAUUUUAACAUAGACCAACAAGUCAAAGUAACCUAAAAAUCUUAUUGACCCAAAAAUUUUUUGAUCAACGGACCAAGUUACCCUAGGGAUAACAGCGCAAUCCUAUUUUAGAGUCCAUAUCGACAAUAGGGUUUACGACCUCGAUGUUGGAUCAGGACAUCCCAAUGGCGCA